rnacentral:rRNA from 1 species
UGAGUAACCUGCCCUUAACUCUGGGAUAAGCCUGGGAAACUGGGUCUAAUACCGGAUAUGACUCCUCAUCGCAUGGGUGGGGGGUGGAAAGCUUUAUUGUGGUUUUGGAUGAGCUCGCGGCCUAUCAGCUAGUUGGUGUGGGUAACGGCCCACCAAGGCGACGACGGGUAGCCGGCCUGAGAGGGUGACCGGCCACACUGGGACUGAGACACGGCCCAGACUCCUACGGGAGGCGG